UAAAAAUUUUAUUUUAGUUUAUUUAUUAAGUAUUAUUUUUUAUUAUAUGUUAAUUUUUAUUAAAUAAUAGUUAGCAGUAAUUAAAUUUAAAUAUUCAAGAAAUUGAGAUUUAGAAAUAAUAUAAAAUAUAAACAAAAUUUGUGCCAGCAGUUGCGGUUAUACAAAUUAUAUAAUUUAAUUUGUUUAAUUUUAAUUAAUUGUAAUAAAAAUUUAAAAUUAGAAUUUAUUUAGUGAAAUUUUAAAUUUUUAAUUAAAUUUUUAUAUUAGAGAUAUUAAAAAAUUUUAAAUAUAGACUAGGAUUAGAUACCCUAUUAUUUAAAAAGUAAAAAAAUAAAAAUUAAAUUAGUAUUAGUUAUGUUCUUGAAAAUUAAAAAAUUUGGCGGUAUUUUAGUCUUUUCAGAGGAACCUGUUUUAUAAAUGAUACUCCACGAUUAAAUUUACUUUUUUUAUUAGUUUACAUAUCGUCGUUAUUAAAUAUUUUUAAAGAAUUAAAAUAUUUAAGAUUUUUAUUAAAAAAAAUUUCAGAUCAAGGUGUAGUUUAUAAAAAAGAAAAAAUGGGUUACAAUAAAUUUAUUUAGGGAUUUAUAUUUUUAUUAGUAUUUUGAAUUUGGAUUUGAAAGUAAUUUUAAUUAAUUUAUUAAAAUGAUUUAAGCUCUAAAAUAUGUACAUAUUGCCCGUCGCUUUCAUUUAAAAUGAAAUAAGUCGUAACAAAGUAGAUUUACUGGAAAGUGAAUCUAGAUUCAA
rnacentral:ncRNA from 1 species